UGGCUUUGAUGAAAACGGUAUUCUUCUUUCCCAGUCUGAUCGACCAUGACGACGGGAUUACUACCAUACCUCUGUACUUUCGGGUGCAAAUAUGGGGUUUUACUUGCCAGUAUAUUUCAAUAUACGUUCAAGUUCCUGAGCCUUU
rnacentral:snoRNA from 1 species